UACGGGGGGGGCAAGCGUUGUUCGGAAUUACUGGGCGUAAAGGGCUCGUAGGUGGCCAACUAAGUCAGACGUGAAAUCCCUCGGCUUAACCGGGGAACUGCGUCUGAUACUGGAUGGCUGGAGUAUGGGAGAGGGAUGCGGAAUUCCAGGUGUAGCGGUGAAAUGCGUAGAUAUCUGGAGGAACACCGGUGGCGAAGGCGGCAUCCUGGACCAUUACUGACACUGAGGAGCGAAAGCCAGGGGAGCAAACGGG
rnacentral:rRNA from 1 species